UCGCCUAGUAUCGCUGCGCGCGUGCAACUACUCAAGGAUGGGCCGGCGGUGUGCAGGCAAGCGCCUUCAACAUGGUGCCGCCACGAACCAGACCAUCGGCAAGGGCAGACUGGUUGUCGCCCUCGUGAGGCGCUAUCCCAGACGGCUCCAAACGACGUUUUGCAACACUGCGCCAAGUCUCCCCCGACGCUGCAGGCGACCGCCCAAUGUAGACGGCCCCUUUGAACGCAAUCGUCCGCAGCCGGCAUACCCGUGGCGGUGAGCCGACGAUUCCUGUUGACUCGAUUGGGAAAAUUAUCCCAAGUGUACCGUGCCCUGCAUGAGGCGCAAGGCGUGCGACAGCAGCGACCUCUCCUGAGGGGCUGGCGCCCAUGUCACAUCGUCGAGUUGCAGGCGCAAA
rnacentral:misc_RNA from 1 species